UACGUAGGGUGCAAGCGUUGUCCGGAAUUAUUGGGCGUAAAGAGCUCGUAGGCGGUUUGUCGCGUCGAAUGUGAAAACCCGGGGCUCAACCCCGGGCCUGCAUUCGAUACGGGCAGACUAGAGUUCGGUAGGGGAGUCUGGAAUUCCUGGUGUAGCGGUGAAAUGCGCAGAUAUCAGGAGGAACACCGGUGGCGAAGGCGGGACUCUGGGCCGAUACUGACGCUGAGGAGCGAAAGCGUGGGGAGCAAACGG
rnacentral:rRNA from 1 species